rnacentral:rRNA from 1 species
GCCUCAGUAACGGCGAGUGAAGCGGCAACAGCUCAAAUUUGAAAUCUGGCCUUCUGGUCCGAGUUGUAAUUUGUAGAGGAUGUUUCGAACGUGGUCCGGUCUAAGUUUCUUGGAACAGAACGUCAUAGAGGGUGAGAAUCCCGUAUGCGACUGGGUGCCUAAGUUCAUGUGAAGCUCCUUCGACGAGUCGAGUUGUUUGGGAAUGCAGCUCAAAAUGGGUGGUAAAUUUCAUCUAAAGCUAAAUAUUGGCCAGAGACCGAUAGCGCACAAGUAGAGUGAUCGAAAGAUGAAAAGCACUUUGGAAAGAGAGUUAAACAGUACGUGAAAUUGUUGAAAGGGAAGCGCUUGCAACCAGACUUGCAUGCAGUUGAUCAUCCGAUGUUCUCACCGGUGCACUCGAUUGUAUUCAGGCCAGCAUCGGUUUUGGUGGUUAGAUAAAGGCCUUGGGAAUGUAGCUUCUUUCGGGGA